AUUUUUGAUUCAAAAGCUACCAAAAAAUAAAAGUGAGGUGGCUGUUACGAUUACAAAUCCAUAUAACCGCUCAAAUGUCAUUCCUAUUGAUGCACAUGAGCCAAAUCUUUCGCGUUAUUACCGCCCGAAAACAAGCAAAAGCGGUUCCCAACUGUCGACCAUCGAAGGUAGAAAUGCAAGAAGGUUUCCUUCUUCAUGUGAAAAUAAUCGGAGAUUUGGACUUGAAAUUGAGGGAGCGUCAAAAUCGACUGAAACGGUUUGGUUGUCAAUUGCAACCCACAGCAGCUAUUAUCGGAC